rnacentral:sRNA from 1 species
GAGCGUGUCUUUGGAGAAGGGUUUGUUAGCACAGGGGGACUCG